rnacentral:tRNA from 1 species
GCCUGGUUGGCUCAGUCGAUUAAGCAUCUGACUUUGAUUCAGGUCAUGAUCUCACAGUUCAUGGGUUCAAGCCCCGUGUCAGGCU